rnacentral:rRNA from 1 species
AACGAACGCUGGCGGCAUGCCUAACACAUGCAAGUCGAACGAGACCUUCGGGUCUAGUGGCGCACGGGUGCGUAACGCGUGGGAAUCUACCCUUGGGUUCGGAAUAACUCAGAGAAAUUUGAGCUAAUACCGGAUGAUGUCGCAAGACCAAAGAUUUAUCGCCCAAGGAUGAGCCCGCGUAGGAUUAGCUUGUUGGUGAGGUAAAAGCUCACCAAGGCGACGAUCCUUAGCUGGUCUGAGAGGAUGAUCAGCCACACUGGGACUGAGACACGGCCCAGACUCCUACGGGAGGCAGCAGUGGGGAAUAUUGGACAAUGGGCGAAAGCCUGAUCCAGCAAUGCCGCGUGAGUGAUGAAGGCCUUAGGGUUGUAAAGCUCUUUUACCCGGGAUGAUAAUGACAGUACCGGGAGAAUAAGCCCCGGCUAACUCUGUGCCAGCAGCCGCGGUAAU